UCUGCGCUGAUUCCUUUGCUUGCUUGGUCUGAACGUCGUAGACAUACUGUUCUCCUUUUUGUGCUAUGACAAAUGGACAUAUGGGCGACGCUCUGGCGUGCUCUUCCCAUGCUCCAUCGGUGGGAACCCAUCUUUCAAGCUCUCGUCCGCAGUGAAAGCACUGGACGCAAUCACCGUUCCCGUUAUAAAACCAACCGGCUUGGGCCAUGACCCUGGGAUGCUGAGCUUUUGAUUCAGGCCACUCGGCAAAUGUAGAAAAACGAGCCUUGUAAUCCAUCAUGUCUGGAAAGCGCACAGCGUAGCUAUAGGUCCCCGGAAUAGCAACUGGCGCUGACGCCCACACCUCCACGACGUCUUCUCCUUCCGCAGUAAUGGGUUCAGGUGUUCUCUUUGACAUUGGACAGUUUGGAAACAGUAAUUGAUGAUGCCGCCUUGGGCUUCGGAUUUUACCCCAUCCGGACAUAAUACCGUCACAAUAUGCGCACUGAACUUCAUCCCCGGUUCCACGAUAAAACAUUCCGGCUAAGGCCAACCAAUCGCUACAGUCUUGUGUUGGGAAAAGUUUGACCAAUGGAAACCAUUGCUUUCCAUAAAAAGGCGGAGUUUUGGAGGGAUUUUAUGCGAAUCAAAAUCCAACACUUUGCAGUCGCUGUAGUCGUGAGGAUAUAAAAGGCUAGCGGUCGCUUUUGCAAUCAAAAAAUGGAUUUUGCACGCACUUUGGAGAUUUUGGGAGAGCUGAACGGAUACAUCAUCUAUAAGGUCAACAAUGUGGUAAGUAUGUUUUGGAACACGAAAAAGGUCAGUCUUGUUCUAGCUUUUGAUCAGGAAACAGACGGUUACAAAGAUCAUGAAGAGGCGUUCCGGAAAGGAGUGCGUCUGGGAUGUAGUGAAAUUUCGGACGUCCUGAAUAAGUUGAAAGCGGGAACUAUCCAAGCAGCGAUGGACAAGGCAAUCACAAGCAAAUCUGCGGAAAAGGUCACUCUUGCCGGACCUGCUUAUUCCAUACCGAGGAUUUUUGGAUGUAGCUCGCAUUGUACAGGACAGCUUCUGGGGUCCUGAGGGAGUGUCCAUGGAUACGUAGGCUAACAGCAUUUGACUUGUGUUUGACAGAAGGAUCGACUUGGACGCGAUAACCCGUGUUUUCGGGAACGAUGCUACUAAGAUGAAAAACUUUAACGCCGUUAACCUUCGCUUGAAUGGUAACACAUUCUGUCAACUGUUUGCGAACGGCAAGGCCAUCAUAAACGGCGGACCAACAAUGUCUGGGAAAUCAACGUUUACGUUGCAACUCUUGAAAAACGUUUCACAAAGUUUCACUCCCGUCCCUACUCGUAUUGUUUACGCGUACGAAAAGGUGAUACAACGCUGCUAAUUUUGGAUGAUUUAAUGGAGGAAAUAGCAUCUGCUACUAAGGCAUCCGCGUUAUUUACCCGUGAUGUUCACCACAAAAACGUUUCUGUUGUUUUCAUCUCACAAAACCUUUUCAAGCAAGGAAAGAACAUGCGUGAUAUUUCUCUCAACUCACAAUAUAUGGUCGUAUUUAAAUCUGUUCGCGACACACAGCAAAUAAAAACGCUAGCGCAUCAGCUGGGCAUGCCACACUUGCCAGAAGCUUAUAAAAAGGCUAUAAAGGAACCGUUUGGAUACUUAUUAAUUAACUUACGUCCGGAAACCCCCGACAAGGCCCGCUUACAAUCGAAU